AUUGAACGCUGGCGGCAUGCCUUACACAUGCAAGUCGAACGGCAGCACGGGGGCAACCCUGGUGGCGAGUGGCGGACGGGUGAGUAAUGCAUCGGAACGUGCCCUGAAGUGGGGGAUAACGCAGCGAAAGCUACGCUAAUACCGCAUAUUCUGUGAGCAGGAAAGCAGGGGAUCGCAAGACCUUGCGCUUUGGGAGCGGCCGAUGUCGGAUUAGCUAGUUGGUGGGGUAAAGGCCUACCAAGGCGACGAUCCGUAGCGGGUCUGAGAGGAUGAUCCGCCACACUGGGACUGAGACACGGCCCAGACUCCUACGGGAGGCGAGCAGUGGGGAAUUUUGGGACAAUGGGCGAAAGCCUGAUCCAGCCAUGCCGCGUGAGUGAAGAAGGCCUU
rnacentral:rRNA from 1 species